UGCAGUCGGACGGUAGCACAGAGAGCUUGCUCUUGGGUGACGAGUGGCGGACGGGUGAGUAAUGUCUGGGGAUCUGCCCGAUAGAGGGGGAUAACCACUGGAAACGGUGGCUAAUACCGCAUAACGUCGCAAGACCAAAGAGGGGGACCUUCGGGCCUCUCACUAUCGGAUGAACCCAGAUGGGAUUAGCUAGUAGGCGGGGUAAUGGCCCACCUAGGCGACGAUCCCUAGCUGGUCUGAGAGGAUGACCAGCCACACUGGAACUGAGACACGGUCCAGACUCCUACGGGAGGCAGCAGUGGGGAAUAUUGCACAAUGGGCGCAAGCCUGAUGCAGCCAUGCCGCGUGUAUGAAGAAGGCCUUCGGGUUGUAAAGUACUUUCAGCGGGGAGGAAGGCGAUGAGGUUAAUAACCUUGUCGAUUGACGUUACCCGCAGAAGAAGCACCGGCUAACUCCGUGCC
rnacentral:rRNA from 1 species